UUGCAAAAAAAAAAAAAGAAAGAACAAACCUCGCUCGUCACAUUCCUGCAAUCCCGCAGACUCACACCCCUCACGCCGCCGCCAUCACCUCCAUUCCCAUCCCGCCCAACGCGGUAGCAAGACCUCUGCUCCCUCACGCGUCGAUCCCGAUCCCUUCUUGGUCGGUCGCGCUUGUGAUCCCCUGACGCCCAUCGCCGCAGCAUGCGCUCGGGAUCCCCUCCCGCUCUCGCCGGUGGCCGCGCGUGCCUGCUGUUCGCGCUCGACGGUGGCAUGGCUCCUCGAUGGGAUCUCGACGUGGGGGCAAGAAUAUCAGUUGAGGUGCCACCGCAAGGCUGGUCGGAGCGCUCGGUCCCCUCCCGGGCAGCAGUAGCGCACGCAGUCAUGCACCCCCUCCAUCUGGCCAGUGGCGUUCAAAUCCAUGGAGAUGGUGCCCUGACCUGCUGGGGAGGGGCGGCUCCGACGUGUUGCUGCAAAUUGCGGAUCAGGCAUCCGACACGUCCUCACGGCGGCGGCGCGGCACUCGUUCUGCGGCCAGGGCGCGGCCUAGGCGCUAGCUAGACGAUAAGCCUGCCCACCUCGCGCGCGCCGUGGCACUGGCCGUACAGGGAUUGGCGCCAUGGGCAUCGUCGUCAGAGCGUGUGCGACUCCAGCUCCCGCCGCGGCAGCUCCCUCCGGCUCCAGGGAGGCUGCCUAGGCCCAGCGGAGGAGCAAGACCUCGAGGACCGCCCGCGUGCUCGUGCUAGGCGGCACCGGACGCGUCGGGGGAUCCACAACCACCGCACUCUCCCAGCUCCGCCCCGACCUCGGCAUCCUCGUCGGAGGCACGAACCGGCGAGUCUGUUGCAUCUAAGCUUGGGAGCCAGUCUGAGUUCGUCCAGGUCGACACCCGCGACGCAGGCAUGCUGGAGGAAGCGCUGCAGGGUGUGGAUUUGGUUGUCCAUACUGCUGACCCUUUCCAGAGGGCGGAGGAGUACACCGUGUUGCAGACAGCAAUAUCUACUAAGGUAGAACAGAAGCACACCAUGCUUCAGUCUCGAUUGCAUUUUUUUGGGGGCGGUGAGCUGCUUAACUAAAAUGCUGUUGGCACAUUUGAAACUUUAUCCUGAACAGACACCAUAUAUUGAUGUCUGCGACCAUGAGCAAGCAAAAGUUGCUGGUGUUCCAGCUAUUACUACUGCUGGCAUAUAUUCAGGAGUUAGCAAUGAUCUGGUAAAGGCGGCUUUGAUCCGGUGGCCAACAUGCAGAUGCGAACCUCUCUACCCCAUUCCGGAGACGAGUAUGCGAAAGGCAGACAAGAGCAGUGACCCCAGCGUGUUGCAUUCUGACAUUCUCCUCCACAACAAUUGCAAUCAGAAGAGGAGCAGUGGCUCAGCUUGUAGCUGAAGGGGCAGCGGCCUCACCAGAUCACUAAUCAUGUGCAUUCUAUUCCUUGAAUGCUGCAAACAAGGUUAGUCACUUCCAGUAUUCUCCCAAAUGCCAUUUUUUCAUUAGAAAAUUAUAUCUCACGCAAUAGUUAUAUUAAUGAGUAUUAUCACUUCUGUUUUAUGAACCUGGACAUUGUCAGGCUUGCCAGUUGCAUUGUAAUUCAGUAUGUGCUGGUGUCCUUAGAUAAAUUCACUUAUUUCCUUGAUAAAACACAAUUUACAAUGGCUAGCUUUCGACAAUGGUGACCCACUGAUCUAUUGUGCCCAAACAGAUUUUUUACUCACUGGGUGGCAGAAGUGGUGUGACCAUAUUGUUUCCUUGCUAUAGGAGCUACAUCCCUGGUUAGUGAUCUAAAAUUCUGAUGAACAAAUAGACCCAUGACCAAUGCCACCUGUCUGAUCAUAACCUUUACUAUUACAAGAACUUUUUGUAGCAGUACUAAAGCAAGGAGGCAUUUUUCUACUGGUUAGUGAAAUUAUCUCAGUGUGACAUUUGUAUCUUCUAAUAGUUCAUCUGCUAUUAAAGUUUUGACUUUUUUUCUCCUAAAUAUCUUCUAAAAUAAUGUAACAUCAUUUAUGAAUUUCCUGGAAAAAAUGCGCUGAUGCAUGCACAAUUAAAAUCAAAUUCAAUUCUCUAUGGGGACACAAAUUAUGGAUUUGAUGGAUCUUUAUGGGGCUGUGCAUAUAUUAAUAAAAUGGUCUCAGAACAUAUGAAUGAUAUAAUAUUUAGUCAAAAUAGAAUGCUAAUCAACGUAUGAUCUAUUGCCAUUUUUCUCGUCCUUAGAUCAAUUCACCUAUUUCUUUGAUAAAUCACAAUUUACAAUGGCUAGCUUUCAAUAUUUGCAAAGCAGAGCAGCAGCCUGAACUAAACCUGCCCUUGAUGACAUGCACACAGUCCAUAUCAAGGUAGCCAAAUUUAGAAAGGCCAGUCUCCGAUCUUUGAUAAGGAAUGUUUGAAUUUUAUGCCUGAACAUUGUGCCAACAUUUGCGACAAAAUAGCAGUGGUCGGAGGACUGCUAAGAGGACAUCAAGAGCUACUGCAGGAAGGCUCCGCAGAUGCUGCACUCUCACAAAUGUUGGGAGGAGGUAAGCGCAGUUCAGCUUCAUUUACCUGGUGCCCCAUACCAUCUUGGUGUUUAUGCAAGUGACUUAUUUUUCUCCACACAUUGUAAAUAGAUAAACAAAACAAAGAAAGAAGUUGAGUUAGGUGACACAUUUAUUGUUUCAGAAUUUUGCUAAGAUAGCUUUUUAAUUCUAAAUAUCACUGCAAUAGUCAUCACAUGCUUUAUAUAAUCGUUUUUUCUAUAUGAGUAUUUUAGGAGUUGUUUGGAUAGGUUUUUGAGCUAAAAUUCUCAAAAUCUUCACUCAUUUAAACACUUCAUUAGCAAAGCAACUAUGUUGUUACUAUACAAAUCUUUAGUUAUUUCACUGAAUAUUUGGUGUUAAGAGCAUGGUGAUGUGCCAUGUAUAAUUUACAGGCAAUCAUGUAUACUCUUUAGUCCUUACUAAACCUAUUACUACUAUGCACUGUUAUAUUCAUUGUUGAUCACAGAUGUUCUAGCACUAAUAUCAAGGCAUACUAUUGGUGCACUUGAGCUUGGAGACUAUCUUGUUGGGUUCAUCACCCAAAGUAAAAAUAUUUCCUUUAUUCAUAUGUAGUUCUUUAUUUUCCAAUGUAUGUAAUUUCAACCUUUGGGGUAAUAUUCUCAGUGCCAGACUCGGUUUGCACCUUGCAGUUGUUAAGCCAAGAUGAGACAUCCUCUUGUUAUUGUUUGGUGUUUGGUACUGUAAAGUUCCCAUUUUUAUGGUGAAUGUUUAUUUAUCUUAAAUGCUUUGGAGAUUCCAGGUUUGUUAUCAUUAGCUCAAGUUUUCUACAACUUGCAUAUUCAUGAUUAUAGACGCACUUAAUCUGUUGUCUGCUCAAAUGUCAAGGGCACGACCAAUUUUUAUAAAUGAAGGAAAGUCUACAGCUAGGAUAUGGAUUACUAAACAAUCAUUAUUUCCUCUUUGUAAAUUGUGCUGCUUAAAUUAGAAUAUCAAUUGACUUAUUAUAUAUGUUUAGAUUUAGAAGGGAUUAUCAACAUUAGUGGUCGCUAGAAAUAGUAUAUCAGAGUGGAGAAGCAACUUAUCAGUGUUUGUCACUGAGGUGAGACCUGACUUGCAUAUAUAGAGCUAAUUCAAAUACAACUUUUAGAAAUGCUAUUUAGCUCUUUAAUUUCCUCAUCCCUCUUUCAGCUCUGUUUGCAAAAUUAAAGUGCGAGAAUAGAAAAGUAUCAAUAGAAUUGUUUAAGUUCACUCAUUAGACAUUUCACUGCCACUCCAUAAUAGUGGCCGAUUUGUAGUUAAAUGGUUUAUAUAACCCAAGAAUAUCUUCGAGCGGACCAUAAAUAACUCCAGGAACUAACUGACACGACCUUUAUGUCAACCAUUUUCUGAAAGCAUCGUCAAAGAACUUUUUGGGCCGGAAGCCCUUCGUAGACGUUACUUGUACCCUGUAUUCUGGUGUUCAGUUUGUAUAUUUCAGAUUGUAAGGGUUAUCUAUCAACAUCUGUACUUUUAUACCAUUUAUUGGACAAAGCUUCCUUUGCUUGUGUAAUAAUAUUUCAAUGUUAUAUGUUGUGGAGAAUGAUA